rnacentral:lncRNA from 1 species
CAAAAUUUUGACGGGACGUAUUAUGGUAUACAAAUGUCCGGUGUCCGUCCGUCUGUCUGUCUGUCCGUCUGUCUGUCCGGCGUAAACAUGUCGCACCGUAACUUGAGAACGACUUAUCCAAAUUUCAUGAAACUUAAUAUAGUUGUUUCUUAUAAUGGUCAAAUGAUCUGUAUACUUUUUGGUGAAAAUAAGAUUUAAACUUUUUGAGUUACGGCACUUUGUAACUAAAACAGUGG